AGCGAGCGUAGGUGGCUUGAUAAGUCAGAUGUGAAAGCCCCNGGCUUAACCUGGGAACGGCAUCUGAUACUGUUAGGCUAGAGUAGGUGAGAGGAAGGUAGAAUUCCAGGUGUAGCGGUGAAAUGCGUAGAGAUCUGGAGGAAUACCGAUGGCGAAGGCAGCCUUCUGGCAUCAUACUGACANUGAGGUUCGAAAGCGUGGGUAGCAAACAGGAUUAGAUACCCUGGUAGUCCACGCCGUAAACGAUGUCUACUAGUCGUUGGGUCCCUUGAGGANUUAGUGACGCAGCUAACGCAAUAAGUAGACCGCCUGGGGAGUACGGCCGCAAGGUUAAAACUCAANUGAAUUGACGGGGGCCCGCACAAGCGGUGGAGCAUGUGGUUUANUUCGAUGCAACGNGAAGANCCUUACCUGGUCUUGACAUAUCUAGAAUCCUGCAGAGAUGCGGGAGUGCCUUCGGGAAUUAGAAUACAGGUGCUGCAUGGCUGUCGUCAGCUCGUGUCGUGAGAUGUUGGGUUAAGUCCCGCAACGAG
rnacentral:rRNA from 1 species